CUUGCUUUUGCUCUCUCCGUUUCAUCCGUUUUCCUUUCAAAUACUGCACCGAGUGCCGUAAUAGUCACGGUCUGGUUCUCCAGUUUCUUUCCACUUUUCUGUUGUGUUUCGUUCGACAUCUCGCCCUUCGGACAGUACAUAGACCCCAGCAGCGUCCAACUCCGCCUUAUUUGCUACGUCUUUAGGCGAUUGCCAUCGAUCUCCGAUCUUCACGGACCCCUCCCUUCUAGACUUUUUAUUUUAUUUUAUUUAUUUAUUUUUGGCUUUCUUUUGCUUUUUUAUUUAUUUAUUUUUUUGUUGGCACUCUUUACUUUUACUUGAAAUCGUGAAACUCGAUAGUCAUAUUAUUGUUUCGCUACAGCUCUUCUGAUUUACUCCAACAGUCGUCAUCCAUUCUUUUUCCAACUUCAAGAGCCGAGCGAAGCGGAUAUUGUCACAUCGUUUGUAUUUGGUUUACUGUUUAGUAUUCUUCCGUUUUCCUGCGAAUCCGUACCCUGUUUUCUGUUUGCUUUUUUUGAGCCGUAAGACUUAUUGGACAGAAAGAUGGAUUUCAUAAUGUUUUCAUUGUGACGCACACAGUCACGAUCGGCUGGCAACGUACGGAAGAUGAACUGCCCACAGACGUUCAUUCUUCAUUGAUCCUUCCUUUCAUCUUUUGGGAUUAAACCCGCCCUUCCGGCAUCCGUCGUCGUUAUGGCUCAAAACGGA